rnacentral:rRNA from 1 species
GACGAACGCUGGCGGCGUGCCUAACACAUGCAAGUCGAGCGGGGUUGAAGCGAGGGGUAACUCGAGUUUCUACCUAGCGGCGGACGGGUGAGUAACGCGUGGGCAACCUGCCUCAAGGACUGGGAUAACAGCUCGAAAGGGCUGCUAAUACCGGAUAAGCCUAUGGCCUCGCAUGGGGCCAUGAGCAAAGGGGAAACCCGCCUUGAGAUGGGCCCGCGUCCCAUCAGCUAGUUGGUGAGGUGAAGGCUCACCAAGGCGACGACGGGUAGCCGGCCUGAGAGGGUGACCGGCCACACUGGGACUGAGACACGGCCCAGACUCCUACGGGGGGCAGCAGUGGGGAAUCUUGCACAAUGGGCGAAAGCCUGAUGCAGCGACGCCGCGUGAGCGAAGAAGGCCUUCGGUUGUAAAGCUCUGUCUGGAGGGACGAAGGAAGUGACGGUACCUCCGGAGGAAGCCACGGCUAACUACGUGCCAGCAGCCGCGGUAAUCA